GAUCCAGAAAGAAGUUGGGUGGUAAAUGGUCAGCGGUUGAAACAUUACUUGGGUGGUGAGAUUCAGCGUCUCACCACAAUUAUCCAUCUCUCUGACCCUUGAGCAUAACUGUGUCAGGCUCGUGACGUUAAACAAGCGCUUACUGGGAGGCACCCCAGCCGUUUAACCUUUUCUUAUCUGUGAUUUUUGUUGUUUGAGUGUGUCUUGAUGGUGUGAAUUUGCUUUACUAUGUUUUAGUUUGAAUUGGUAAUUUUGAGUGUUUGAGUUGGAUGGUAGUUAGUAGGUAGUAACUAGUGCAUUGUUGUUAAUGUUGAUUUUUGUUGUGAAAGAGUAUGUCUUGGAGUGUUUUUUGUUUGUUUUGAUGUGUUCUAGUGUGAGUUAGGUUGCAAUGAUGUGUUUUGAAUUAGUUAGGUAUGUGUUGUGGGCAAAAGCAUAAUCUUGACAUGUUUAGUUAGGUGCAUUACCUAUUUCAUUCAUGUUUUAGGUUUAUGCAUUUGCUUUGUUUCAUGAUGAAUUCCUUGUGUUCUCUAUUGCAAAAAACGUGUCUAUCCAACCUUGCUUGUGAUUGAAUGAGUGGCAAAUGGCAAAGAUCCAAGAGGAGGGUGCCAGCUGCUGCAAAAAUCAACUCCUGCUAGACUACCGCUGGGCGGCACCUGGGCUGCACCUGCGCGCUGCACCAGCAGGGGCCCUUUUCUGGUAUGCAGCCCAGCUGCACGAAACGUGCAGCCCAGCGCCAGCGCUGCUGCAGUUAUUUUUUGCCCCUCUUUGACCCACUUCAAUUUUCCCUUUGACCCACUUUCUUUUUUGUUUAAAACCUAAUUCCUACCACUUUCCCUUUCUCUCUUUUCCAAACCAUCACCGUCAGCCCCCCCAACCUCUCCCUCAUUCUCGUAUUCUCUCAUCUCCCACCUUAUUCUCUCAAUCUUUGCCUCCAUUCCUUCCACCCUUUCAAACCCAUCACCACACAUCAACUCUUGGUGCCUCUGCAGCCCUCGGACAGAGUUGGUUCUAGCAUUUGGAGUUUUGUUUUUCCAC
rnacentral:lncRNA from 1 species